rnacentral:rRNA from 1 species
UACGAAGGGGGCGAGCGUUGUUCGGAAUUACUGGGCGUAAAGGGCGCGCAGGCGGCCUUAGAAGUCAGAUGUGAAAGCCCCGGGCUCAACCUGGGAAUGGCAUUUGAUACUCUGAGGCUGGAGUACGGGAGAUGCGAGUGGAAUUCCCGGUGUAGCGGUGAAAUGCGCAGAUAUCGGGAGGAACACCAAUGGCGAAGGCAGCUCGCUGGGACGUUACUGACGCUGAGACGCGAAAGCGUGGGGAGCAAACAGG